UGACAAAGCAUGGUGUUCAUGACCCAACCC
rnacentral:piRNA from 1 species